UGAAACUAAUCUUCCCGUGAAGAAGCGGGAAUAUCCCCAUAAGACGAGAAGACCCCAUGGAGCUUCAAACCCAAUUACACCCCUAACCCCUAUAACUACUUAACCCUUAGGAUUCUGUAUUAUUGGUUUUAGGUUGGGGCGACCACGGAGUACAACAAAACCUCCACAAUGAACGGAACUACUUCCUCAUCUGAGAGCUACACCUCUAAGAAUUAAAAUAUUAACAUAAAAUGAUCCAUUUUUGAUCAAUGAACCAAGUUACCCUGGGGAUAACAGCGCAAUCCAUUUCAAGAGCCCCUAUCGACAAAUGGGUUUACGACCUCGAUGUUGGAUCAGGGUAUCCUGGUGGUGCAGCAGCUACUAAAGGUUCGUUUGUUCAACGAUCAAAACCCU
rnacentral:rRNA from 1 species